GCGUGGGAAUCUAGUGUAGGCGACCUUUCCUGUGGGGGCGGAGUGUUGCGUGAGUGUGCGUGGGGGGUUGGGGGCGUUUCCGGGAAGUUAAACACCUGCUAGACUUUGAGCGGAAGCUGAGGGAGACUGGCAACAAUGAUUGAGGCUGAAUCCUGCCGUCUCUUUCACCUGCUGCUCUUGAGCAGUUAGCAAUCAAAUUCGUGAAAAGAGUGAAUCCAGAAAUAGAGAAGACAUGAAAGAGGAUGAAGAAAUGAAAAUACAUCUAAAGCAUUCAGAAAUCACCAGGAUACAGGCUGAAUCAUACUUCAGGCCCAGGGAAGUGGAAGUCAUUUUAAUCUUGGACCAGUUAAAUAACCUGAGGUUGCCCGUGAGGAAGACGAUGCAUCGUGGAGGCUGACCCAGGGCUACAGGAGACUCCAGUAAACAGCAGCCCUAAUAGCUUCUGCAGUCCCCAGUAUGGCCCAGACUAUUCAACUGCUACACAUGACUCAACACGCUAAAGAUGACCGGUUUUCCAUAGUUGGCUGGGCUAAUGCCUUUUUUCAAUAUCGGUUGCUAGGGAGUGUCAUCAACAGUGUGCAUUCAUGUGGAAUUUUUUCCAGUGUACAUUUGCCUCAAGGAUGUUUGAACUCCCUUAUGUACUGUCACAAGUAUAGUGAGGCAGAUCUAGUGUAAUACAACUAGAUUACAGUGUUCUAGUGCUCAAUAGAGAUGACAUUAUGAUUAUUUCUGAAACAGAGAAUCAACCUGAAAGCAACUUUACUAUGAUCAUAUGACUGAUGGAAGAUGGUUUAUGAACCCCGAAAACAAUCCAGAACCUUGCAUAGACUGUAAACUUCGGGAGGAUUAUAUGGGCUGGAGUGCCCUGUGAUACACUGCAGACCACUAGGAAUACAUUGUUCUUGUUCCCCAACCUCCGUUAUUAGACUAGACAGGAGGCCUAAUGCCUAAUGGGCCUACUUGCUUUUGGAGAAAUCAUAUCCCCCACUUAAAGACACUAUUGGGCCUAAUUAAUUUACAUCACCUGGGAAAAGGUCAUUUUUGGUUAGAAGCUUGAACAACACAAGCCUUCUUGAAACUGCAGAGUCUGUAGCUCAAACUAUCCUGUGUGGACCGCAAUGGACUGAAUUGUGUUGGAGCUUUAAAUUCCUAUGUUGGAGCGCUAAUGCCCAAUCUGAUGGUAUUUUGAGGUGGGUGUUUGUGAGGCAGUUAGGUUUAAAUGAGAUCACAGCGGGCACAUGAUGGAGUUAGUGUCCUUAUAAGAUCAGGAAGAGACCAGAACUCGUGCUCUCUCUCUCCACCACGGGAGGAUUCAAAGAGAAGACAGCCACCUGCAAGCCAGGAGGAGGGCCAAUACCAAAGCUCAACCAUGCUGCUCUCCAAUGUUGGGUUUCCAGCCUCCAGAAUUGUAAACCUCUGUUGUUUAAGCCACCCAGUUGGUGGUAUUUUGUUCCAGCAGCCUGAACUGACUGAAGUAGCUGGUUUCACAGGUUCUCAUCUGGAGAGGAAUUUACCUCAAGAUGAAUCAUACCUCACAUCUCACCCUGCCUAAUUUAGAUGAGACUUUGGACUUAUUUAGAGUUGAUGCUGGAAGGAGUUAGGAUUUGGGGGGCUGUUGGGAUGGGUGAAUGUAUUUUGCAUGCAAGAAGGACAUGAAUUUGGGGGAUCCAGAGGCAUAAUGUUAUAGACCGAAUGUUUGUGCCCCCCUGCCAAUUCAUAUGUUGAAGCCCUAAUUCCUAAUGUGAUGGUAUUUGGACAUGGGGUCUUUGGGAGAUAAUUAGGUUUAGAUGAGGUCAUGGGGUGGGUGGGGCCCCCAUGUUGGGAUUAGUGUUCUUAUAGGAAGAGGAAGAGACAGGAUAGCUCUCUUUCCCCCAUAUGAGGAAGCCGCUUGCCUUCCAGGAAGAGAGCUUUCAUCAGAAACUGACCAUGCUGGCACCCUCAUCUCAGACUUCCCAGCCUCAAGACCUGUGAAAUAAAUGUCUGUUGUUUAACCCACCCAGUCUAUGAUAUUUUGUUAAAAGCAGCCUGUGCUGACUAAUACAGACACCAAUGUAGAAAUGAUAUUCAAAGUGUCAACCACCCUGCCUUCAUGCAGACUCAAGUCUUCUUGGCAAAAGCCCAUAAUCGUGGUCAACUAGAAAAUUAUCUUAUACUGCUCAGAUAUACUGUGGUGUAUUUCUUUUAAAGAUAGUUACUAGCUACUUAUUGGGUGUUUACUAUGACAGCCCCAUUAACUGAAGAACAUAAAAUUAUAUCAGCUGCUGAAUUACCCCCAUGUCAUGAGUAGUAUCAAAAAAGCAUCCCAACAAGAAGGGAAAUGUUGAAUUCCUUCAUAAAAUGGAAGCGAUAUUACAGCCAUGAUACACAGUGGGACUCAGCCUAUCCAUAACUUAUUCAUGAGCAAGUAGCCUGUUUUCCACUAGGACCUCCGAAAAGGCCAUCUGAAGACUUGUCUGCUGCUCUUACUUAUGGGCCUCAUCAUUCCAACAAUGUCCCAAGGAUAUGAGGGACUUGGCCUGAUUCACAGGUGGCAGUUCCAGAAUGGAGAGCCAUGGCUCCAUG